rnacentral:rRNA from 1 species
ACCUCGCGAAUUCGCCCUUUUGGUCAUUUAGAGGAAGUAAAAGUCGUAACAAGGUUUCCGUAGGUGAACUGCGGAAGGAUCAUUACCGUGGGGCUUCGGCCCCAUUGAGAUAGCACCUUUGUUUAUGAGUACCCUUGUUUCCUCGGCGGGCUUGCCCGCCAUGAGGCCAUAAAAACCCUUUGCAGUAGCAGUAACUUCAGUUAAUAAUAAAUAUUAAACUUUCAACAACGGAUCUCUUGGUUCUGGCAUCGAUGAAGAACGCAGGAAAUGCGAUAAGUAGUGUGAAUUGCAGAAUUCAGUGAAUCAUCGAAUCUUGAACGCACAUUGCGCCCUUCGGUAUCCCGUUGGGCAUGCCUGUUCGACGUCAUUUAAACCUUCAAGCUAUGCUUGGUGUUGGGUGUUUGUUCCGCCCAGCGCGUGGACUCGCCUCAAAUUCAUUGGCAGCCGGUAUGUUGGCUUCUGCGCAGCACAUUGCAAGCGAUUUCAGCAGACUCCCUUCCAUAAGCCCUUUUUUACUUUGACCUCGGAUCAGGUAGGGAUACCCGCUGAACUUAAGCAAUCAAUAAGCGGAGGAA